GUACUUACUCCAGCAGCACAUACACUAAAAAACUGGAAUGAUACAGAGAAGACUGGCAAUGGGCCCCGCACAAGGAUAACAUAUUAUUUUUUUUAAAGUGAUGUAGAAUUGU
rnacentral:snRNA from 1 species